rnacentral:rRNA from 1 species
AACGAACGCUGGCGGCAUGCCUAACACAUGCAAGUCGAACGAGACCUUCGGGUCUAGUGGCGCACGGGUGCGUAACGCGUGGGAACCUGCCCUUAGGUUCGGAAUAACUCCCCGAAAGGGGUGCUAAUACCGGAUAAUGUCUUCGGACCAAAGAUUUAUCGCCUUUGGAUGGGCCCGCGUUGGAUUAGCUAGUUGGUAGGGUAAAAGCCUACCAAGGCGACGAUCCAUAGCUGGUCUGAGAGGAUGAUCAGCCACACUGGGACUGAGACACGGCCCAGACAGGGAGGGGGGGCAGGAGGGGUGAUAGUUGCGGGAGGGGAGAAAGCUGAACAAAUGAAGGCGGUGUGAGGGAGGAGGGCUUUAGGUUGGGAAAUUGCUGUUCCGGGGGAUAAUAAAGCGAGUAGGGGGGGAAUAAUGUCCGCCAAAAUCCGUCCGAGCAGCGGAAGUAAAAAGCGAAGAGCACAGGCCUGAAU